UACGGAGGGUGCAAGCGUUAUCCGGAUUCACUGGGUUUAAAGGGUGCGUAGGCGGGCCUGUAAGUCAGCGGUGAAAUCUCCGGGCUUAACCCGGAAACUGCCAUUGAUACUAUAGGUCUUGAAUUAUCUGGAGGUAAGCGGAAUAUGUCAUGUAGCGGUGAAAUGCUUAGAUAUGACAUAGAACACCAAUUGCGAAGGCAGCUUACUACGGAUCGAUUGACACUGAGGCACGAAAGCGUGGGGAUCAAACAGG
rnacentral:rRNA from 1 species